rnacentral:rRNA from 1 species
GAUGAACGCUGGCGGCGUGCUUAACACAUGCAAGUCGAACGAAGCACUUUAUUUGAUUUCCUUCGGGACUGAUUAUUUUGUGACUGAGUGGCGGACGGGUGAGUAACGCGUGGGUAACCUGCCUUGUACAGGGGGAUAACAGUUGGAAACGGCUGCUAAUACCGCAUAAGCGCACGGCAUCGCAUGAUGCAGUGUGAAAAACUCCGGUGGUAUAAGAUGGACCCGCGUUGGAUUAGCUAGUUGGUGAGGUAACGGCCCACCAAGGCGACGAUCCAUAGCCGACCUGAGAGAGUGACCGGCCACAUUGGGACUAAGACACGGCCCAAUCUCCUACGGGAGGCAGCAGUGGGGAAUAUUGCACAAUGGGCGAAAGCCUGAUGCAGCGACGCCGCGUGAGCGAAGAAGUAUUUCGGUAUGUAAAGCUCUAUCAGCAGGGAAGAUAAUGACGGUACCUGACUAAGAAGCACCGGCUAAAUACGUG